UGUUCAUUUUGUUUAUUUUAUCAAGAUUAUCAAGAUGAAAUCGUUGACUGUUGCUUUAGUGGCAUUUUUAGCGACUGUACUUCCUUACUGCCACGCCUACUGUUACGCCAGAGAAAUAGUCAGACUAUUUGAUAUAAAAACAAUGAGUCCAGUCGAUUACUGCGAAUUAGGAACAAAAAAGUGGGAGAUAGAUGAGCAAACAGUAGAUUUAGUAACAUGUGAAAUAUGCACAUGUAGUUCAACUAGUUUGACUUGUUGUGGAAUUGGAUAUAACGCAGGGAAAGCUUACACACCAGAAGGGUGUAUUCAGAAAAGACUAGAAAACUGUUGUUACCAAUUUGUCCUAAGAGCAAAUUACUCUGUCCCUUGUCGUCGUGAAAGGUGCCCCUGAUAAGCCUAGAGAACAAAUAAGAUACACGCAAUUAGUUAUAUAGAACCAGUUAUAUUAACUAUAGAUCCAUCUGUAAAAAUAUUAACUUUGUAUUUCAAUAAAAUGUGAACACAGUU